rnacentral:rRNA from 3 species
UCUAAGUACGUGCCUAAGAAAGGUGAAACCGCGAAUGGCUCAUUAAAUCAGUUAUGGUUCCUUAGAUCGUACCUUACUACUUGGAUAACUGUGGUAAUUCUAGAGCUAAUACAUGCAGCAGAGCUCCGACCUUCGGGGACGAGCGCUUUUAUUAGACCAAGACCAAUCGGACUUCGGUCCGAAGCUCAUGGUGACUCUGGAUAACUUUGGGCUGAUCGCACGGUCUCGUACCGGCGACGCAUCUUUCAAGUGUCUGCCUUAUCAACUUUCGAUGGUAGGUUAUGCGCCUACCAUGGUCGUAACGGGUAACGGGGAAUCAGGGUUCGAUUCCGGAGAGGGAGCCUGAGAAACGGCUACCACAUCCAAGGAAGGCAGCAGGCGCGCAAAUUACCCACUCCCGGCACGGGGAGGUAGUGACGAAAAAUAACAAUACGGGACUCUAUUGAGGCCCCGUAAUUGGAAUGAGUACACUCUAAAUCCUUUAACGAGGAUCUAUUGGAGGGCAAGUCUGGUGCCAGCAGCCGCGGUAAUUCCAGCUCCAAUAGCGUAUAUUAAAGUUGUUGCGGUUAAAAAGCUCGUAGUUGGAUCUCAGUUCCAGACGGGUGGUCCACCUUUGGUGGUUACUGCCUGGCCUGAACAAAUCCAGCCGGUUUUCCUUGAUGCUCUUCACCGAGUGUCUUGGGUGACCGGCACGUUUACUUUGAAAAAAUUAGAGUGCUCAAAGCAGGCGUGACGCCUGAAUAAUGGUGCAUGGAAUAAUGGAAUAGGACCUCGGUUCUAUUUUGUUGGUUUUCGGAACACGAGGUAAUGAUUAAGAGGGACAGACGGGGGCAUUCGUAUUGCGACGCUAGAGGUGAAAUUCUUGGACCGUCGCAAGACGAACUACU